GGGAUCAAGCAGGAGCCAGAGAGUCUAGACAGAAGCAGUAGGUUAGGAGCACACUGAGGGUCAAAGCCAAGGAAUCACCAGUAGUCAGAGUGUCAGACAGGGAGCCAGAGAUCAGGAACAAGCCAAAGGUCAAGCCAGUUAACUCCCAAUUGUGGGCAUCUGCAUGUUUGUGCUGAUUGUGAGCCUUUUAUUCCAGCCGGAAACUGCAGAAAGUUGAAGGUCAAUUUCAAAUUCAUAAAUAGAGUCUUGAUGUUGUUGCUAAUUUGUUUUAUGUAUAAAUUAGUUAUUUACUGGUAUACAGUUCUGGGGGAUCUCAUUUCCCCCACAGAUGUCUCCCUGCCGCAAGUGGAAAGGAUUGAUACCAUAUCCAGUGUGGACACAAUCCCCGCCUUCCCUUUGGCGCCAACAACCAGCAGAAGAAAGGACAGGAAAAGCUCAGACAUGGAAGGAACAGAAGAGAGCAGAGUUGCUGUUACUGCUGCUGUUGUCUGUGUCUAGGAUAGACAAAUGAACAUGAGGGAAGAAAAGGGGUAGAGGAUAAUUACUUUCAUCCCAGUUUUAUUUUUAUUCCCACAAAUCCCAACCGCUUUUGAAGCCAAUUUUCCUUUAAUAAAAUACACUUUUAAUGA